GCAUUAGGCAUGAUGCGAUCACUAGCCCGCAUUUACUAGUAGUAGAGGGCGGUGUGGGCCCGCACGGCUUGAUGGGUGUUAAGACCGUAAUACGACACUAUCACGGCAAUCCUUUUUUUUUUUUUUUUGGGUGACAUUCAAAUUGUGACCUUUAAAGACUGGUCACCACUUAACAUAAGGGGGCCUAGACCUCGUCCACUAAUCUAAUAUGUAUAAAAAUUGGACAGACGGCUUUAAAAUCUAUUUAUUUCAAUUGAAACUUAGUUACGAGCUGUCGAAUAACGUUUUUAUGCUAUCUAUUCUGUUUCGCGAAUGCAAAAUUUGUUGUCAGCGCAUUUCUUUCGAGGUUUGAGAAUGAGGAUAUUUUUGAGGUGUUGUUGUAGCAUUUUCCCUGGAUAUUUGGUUUUGCUAUCGCGACAGUUGGGUCGUGUGUUCAACAGCUACAGUUUAGAAAUAUAGCAGAUAUAAUAGGCGUCAGAAAACUUGAAAAUUUGUUUUCAAAUUCGACACUGGUUCCUGGUAAUAAAAAUGGGGUCAUUUAGAAAAAAAAUAUCCAAAUGUAUAAAUAUGUUUAAAUAAUAUAAUAUAUAAUUGUAUAAAUGUAAAUAAAUGUAUAAAUAAAUGUAUCUCCAUUUUUUUUCAAUAAAAAUCAAACCUAACCUAUUUAUUAAAUUACUCAAUUUUACAGGAAAUAAAAGCAUGUCGCGAGAUUUACUCGUACCCACAUCAAAAAGUCUUUGAAGUCAGCGUCCUUUCACGCCUACACCUUCGCCUUCACAAAAACCGUAAUCAAGUAAAUCGAAAAAAAAAACAUUUCGAAAAAAAAAAGCCUUAAACUUAUACGUUUAAAAAUAGGUAGUAAAGUCAAUAACUUCAAUAAGAAUUUUUGAUUAUAGUUCCAGCUACGCUGGUUUCGUAAAACUACAUAAUCAUUUCAAUAAUUCAUUCUAAUCUUUGGUAGUAGUUUCAUUCAAUCGAUCUUUUCAAAUUGGUAAAUCUUUUAGUUAGACUGUAGAAUGUUCGUUGAAAGCCAUUGACAUGUAGAACUUCACCUCUGGCUUUAAUAAUAAAGUUUAUUUUUAAAACUAUGCUUGACAUUUUCUUUUUGUAAUACAGUGUUUUAUAUUUUUUAUAAUUUCGAGUAUUUUAAGUACAUAGUUUGAGAUUUAGUUUGGAAAGUACCUUGUGUAUUAUUAAUUUAGAUUCAAAAUUAAAAAGUUUAUUUUGAAUAUUUAUAAAUGAACAUUACUUACAACAAAGUUUAGCGUUUUAUUCAAAAGCGUCAAACGAUAAAUAACAUGGCGAAUGAAGCUAAAACAAAGUACAAAAAAAAUAUUAAAAAAAAUAUUCAAAAAGUAACCGGGCUCUUGUUUUUUCUUCAUCUCUUGUUCUUAUCCGAAGCUCUUGGAAAUCAAAUUAAGAAAAAUUGUUGAAGCCGCUGAGUUAACUUUUACGCUGUCGAGAACGUAACAAAACUCGCACGAAGCAGUUAGCACGAGCGCAAUCGUGAACAUUUGUUAAGUACGUUGUACAUAUUUCAUUACAAAAAUUGGUCCCCGCCUGCGGGAUUCGUACACCGUUGCAUCGCUAAAUACGAAUGCACCAGGCGUCUUAUACUUUAGGCCACGACGAUAUUAAUCCUACUUAAAAUUUCGCCUCAAAAAUGAGUAAAAUGGUGGUGGUACCAGUAAAUAUGAAAAUUUAUCAACGUUAUUCUUCAUCGUGGAAGUAGUCCGAGAACACGUCGUGUUCAGUACGUAUUACCUUAGAAAUAUAUCGAGGGGUGAAAAGCUAUUCGGUUUAGCGACAUUUAUGCAAAUUUACAAGAGAGCCAUUUAAACUUUAAAAUUUAGAAAAAAUAUAAAAAAACUUGUUGAGCGAUUUGAAUGGAGUAAAAAUAGCCUCCCUCGAUAUGUAUUUGCGAGAUUUGUACCGGUUAAAGUUGCAUCGCUUUAAGGUACAGUAAAUGUUGUGUUCUA